GUACCUACCUGGCCGAUAAGCUGCUAUGAUCACAGAGAUGAUUUUGUCAGAGUAGCUUUAUUUACUGUGCUCUGAUUUCAGACUCCCGUGAUUUCCCUAAAUGUGGAAAACUCAACUGUGCCAUUUGGGGUAGAGGAACCACAUCCCUGCUUUCCCC